rnacentral:misc_RNA from 1 species
CUGGGUUUACACGGUUUCGUACCUGCUACCCGCCCUCUGUUAUAUCAACCACAACGCUUCGGCCGUUGGCGGCCCCCCUCGGAGUUUAUGCUGCUGGGGGGGGUUGUCGCGGUCGGCUUCCAAUUCUUAUGUAUGCAUGUUGUCUGAUAUGGAUGAAAAGCCAAUGUAUAAAA